AGAGAGAGACAUGCGCGCAUAUCAAUAAGCGGAGGAAAAGAAACUAACAAGGAUUCCCUUAGUAACGGCGAGUGAAGCGGGAAGAGCUCAAAUUUGAAAUCUUCAAGGUUUUACCUUGACGAAUUGUAGUUUAAAGAAGUGUUUUCUGCUGAAGUUUUGGUAAAAGUUCUUUGGAAUAGGACAUCAUAGAGGGUGAGAAUCCCGUAUUUGACCAUUAUUUUCAGCUUUGUGAUACACUUUCAAAGAGUCGGAUUGUUUGGGAAUGCAGUCCAAAAUGGGUGGUAAAUUUCAUCUAAAGCUAAAUAUUGGCGAGAGACCGAUAGCGAACAAGUACCGUGAGGGAAAGAUGAAAAGAACUUUGAAAAGAGAGUUAAACAGUACGUGAAAUUGUCAAAAGGGAAGCGUUUGACACCAUGUGUUGUUUUCUCGAAAAUCAAUUAAAAAUGGCUCGAUUUUGUAUUGUUGAGACCUUAAAAGCUCACUGUACAUUUUUCGUGUCUUUUUUAAUGCACUUUUCGUUUAACAAGUCAACAUCAGUUUCUUUUGUUGUAAAAGGGUCAUUGGAAGGUGGCUUUCUUUUCGGAGAAAGUGUUUAUAGCCUUUGGCCUCUGCAAUCGGAGAGACUGAGGUCUGCAGCGUAGACUCUUCGGGGUUAGAUACAUUUGUGCUAAGUUAUAGCUUUUUAUAGACAACUUGUUGACUAUAAUUAGUCUUGUAGCUUACUCGCUUAUGCUAUUUUACCUACGCUUAGGAUGUUGAGUCGUAGAGCACGCAG
rnacentral:rRNA from 1 species